rnacentral:rRNA from 1 species
GACGAACGCUGGCGGCGUGCCUAAUACAUGCAAGUAGAACGCAGUUGCGAACGGGUGAGUAACGCGUAGGUAACUUCCUGGUAGCGGGGGAUAACAAUUGGAAACGAUAGCUAAUACCGCAUACUACUAGAUGGACCUGCGUUGUAUUAGCUAGUUGGUGGGGUAACGGCUCACCAAGGCAACGAUACAUAGCCUACCUGAGAGGGUGACAGACUGUACUGGGACUGAGACACGGCCCAGAAUCCUACGGGAGGCAGCAGAGCUGAAGAUAGGUCAAUGGGCGUAAGCCUGAACCAGCCAAGUAGCGUACAAGACGACGGCUUAUGGGUUGUAAUCUGCUUUUGUGCGGGGAUAGGUACCGAAUGAAUAAGGACCGGCUAAUUCCGUGCCAGCCGCCGCGGUAAUAC